AAUUUUGGACAAUGGGGGAAACCCUGAUCCAGCCAUCGCGCGUGUAUGAUGAAGGCCUUCGGGUUGUCCAGUACUUUUGGCAGCGUAGCAAAGGUACCUCCUAAUACGAGGUACUGCUGACGGUAUCUGCAGAAUAAGCACCGGCUAACUACGUGCCAGCAGCCGCGGUAAUACGUAGGGUGCAAGCGUUAAUCGGAAUUACUGGGCGUAAAGCGUGUGUAGUCGGUUCGGAAAGAAAGAUGGGAAAUCCCAGGGCUCAACCUUGGAACUGCAUUUUUAACUGCCGAGCUAGAGUAUGUCAGAGGGGGGUAGAAUUCCACGUGUAGCAGUGAAAUGCGUAGAUAUGUGGAGGAAUACCGAUGGCGAAGGCAGCCCCCUGGGAUAAUACUGACGCUCAGACACGAAAGCGUGGGGAGCAAACAG
rnacentral:rRNA from 1 species